ensembl:lncRNA
AGGGUGUCAUCGGACAUGGACAGGGAAGUCCGAAAUUAUUUUAUUUAUUCUUGGUUCAUCAAACGGAACAGGAAACAGGAAAAGGAGGGAGGAGCGAAUAACACGCUGAAAGAAGUUCUUGUUUUAACUUCAGUCUGGAAGAUUUACGCCAUGUUUAUUUCGUUUUAGGAAAACUGUUUAAAACUAAGUUGUAUGGAUUAGUUAUCAUCGCUGUAAACCACAGUUUCAACAUUUCAGCGCGUAAAGGUCGAGUUCAUCGCAUUGUUCACGAGGAGGCAAAACACAUAAGAACUUCGAUCAAGACUGCAACAAGGGUUUGAACGAUCUGACAGCACGUCUCUGAUUGGUCAUCAUAUCGAGAGGCAGUAACAAUGCAUCACCAUCAGAGUGACUCUGACUCCAGUGAUGACAGCAUGAAACAUCCUGCUUUUAUGACAUCCACAAUGGAAUCACAGAGACACCGGCGCAGUAUGGACAAACCGACUGAAGAGCUGUGAGAGAAUUGUGUUUUUAUGUUAUGUUAUUCACAUGAUUCGGAGAACAAGAAUAAUUGAGAGAGCUUGGCAUAAAUGGGGUUAAUUUAUU